rnacentral:rRNA from 1 species
UGACGCUCUCCCCAAGGACACAAGCCAUGCAUGCCCGCACACCCGGGAAGCGGCGGACGGCUCAGGACAACGGUUGCACCCCCCGCGGCGGUCCCUGCUAGCCGGACACCGCUGGCAACCCGGCGCCAAGACGUGCGCGCAAGUGCGGACGCCCGCGGGCGAGCAGCGUGACGCAGA